GGGAAUGGCAGUAUCUCAGCGGCCGAGUUUCUGCUUUGCAUGCAGAAAGUCCCAGGUUUAAUCCCUGGCAUCUUCA